AACGAACGCUGGCGGCAGGCUUAACACAUGCAAGUCGAACGGGUGCAGCAAUGCAUCAGUGGCAGACGGGUGAGUAACACGUGGGAACCUUCCUAGGGGUACGGAACAACUCAGGGAAACUUGAGCUAAUACCGUAUACGUCCGUAAGGAGAAAGAUUCAUCGCCCCUAGACGGGCCCGCGUCGGAUUAGGUAGUUGGUGGGGUAACGGCCUACCAAGCCUGCGAUCCGUAGCUGAUCUGAGAGGAUGAUCAGCCACACUGGGGCUGAGACACGGCCAGACUCCUACGGGAGGCAGCAGUGGGGAAUCUUGGACAAUGGGCGCAAGCCUGAUCCAGCCAUGCCGCGU
rnacentral:rRNA from 1 species